GCUGUCUCGUGGUGACGGUGUUGUCGAAGGCGUCUUCUCCUCCCCCUCCGUCGCCUGCUCACCAUAUUCUGGAUCGGAAUCGUUCCUCCUUCAGCGUGUGGUCCGUGGUGUGUCUCCUUCCCCAAAUCGAGGGAAAGAUAAGUUGAGUCUGACCUUGCUAAUCUCAUUCUUAUAUUCAUCAGCAAGAGGAUCUCCAAAUUUAGAGGUUAUCAAUGGGGUACGACUACAGCUACUCACAGGAUUCAGAGAGUAAUCACUACACAGAAGACAGUGUAGAAAGGGAGACAGCCGCUUACAUUUUGAUGGAUGAAGCUCAGAGUGCAUUUAACUCAGCCCGCAGGCAUGAAGAGGAGAUUGAGCUAGG